UCACUUGUUUUUUCUUGAUAAUUUUUUUUGCAUAAACAAUUUGAAAAUUUUGCAUCCGAGUUUGAACACAUGGCGCCCCUGAAAUCGAGUACAAAGUUGCUGAUGAUAUUGAAAAACCUAUCUGACAAUCUUUAUGUACCCCGAAAUCGAGAACAAUACAAAUCGGCCACAGGUAUGUUCUCCGUGACUAAUGCGACGUUAGAAUUGUUUGUCAGAUAGAUUACAGUACAGGAAUAUUAGAAAAGCUCUAUUCGAAUUUAAUCUACAUUGUGUGAUCGCGGUUCAUCAUUCGGGCUACUCGAUACUGACCUGUCCAUAUUAUAUUAAAUCGUAUUAGGGUAACUGGGUGGAAAUCAAUACGCCAUACGGUGUGACAACUACAUCUGACUGGUUGAGUAUUGCGGAACGAUUAACUUAUGUAGAAGUAUCUUUACAUAAUUUUUUUUUUUUUUAAAUAAAUAAAUACCUUCCUGUUCGAGUUCAAUAUUUUUUUGCAUAUCAUUUAUACUACGGCCGCUGGAUCACAAGAAAAAGAAACAAGCUGAAAAAGUCUGUUUGGGAGUAUCCACCGAGCAUUCAGUAUCGAAGCACAAAAACGUUACCUAACUCAUCGCCUGCACACUGAGAUGAUGGUCACAGGUAUGCAGUCUAACAAUUCACUAGGUUUCGUCUUGUUGUUUCUAGUUAAUUUACGGCUGAUCAAAAUCACGAGAGCAGAUAACCAAAAGUGGUAGAAUAACGCAUUAAAAUAUAUCUAAAAAAACUUAAAACUGGGUUCACGCUAUAAUGAGGAGUUCUCAAUUUGGUUGAGUAACGUAAUUAGUCAUACCUUUUUAUUUGAAAAAAAAAAUAUUUUUUAUCACUUGUUUUUUCUUGAUAAUUUUUUUUGCAUAAACAAUUUGAAAAUUUUGCAUCCGAGUUUGAACACAUGGCGCCCCUGAAAUCGAGUACAAAGUUGCUGAUGAUAUUGAAAAACCUAUCUGACAAUCUUUAUGUACCCCGAAAUCGAGAACAAUACAAAUCGGCCACAGGUAUGUUCUCCGUGACUAAUGCGACGUUAGAAUUGUUUGUCAGAUAGAUUACAGUACAGGAAUAUUAGAAAAGCUCUAUUCGAAUUUAAUCUACAUUGUGUGAUCGCGGUUCAUCAUUCGGGCUACUCGAUACUGACCUGUCCAUAUUAUAUUAAAUCGUAUUAGGGUAACUGGGUGGAAAUCAAUACGCCAUACGGUGUGACAACUACAUCUGACUGGUUGAGUAUUGCGGAACGAUUAACUUAUGUAGAAGUAUCUUUACAUAAUUUUUUUUUUUUUUAAAUAAAUAAAUACCUUCCUGUUCGAGUUCAAUAUUUUUUUGCAUAUCAUUUAUACUACGGCCGCUGGAUCACAAGAAAAAGAAACAAGCUGAAAAAGUCUGUUUGGGAGUAUCCACCGAGCAUUCAGUAUCGAAGCACAAAAACGUUACCUAACUCAUCGCCUGCACACUGAGAUGAUGGUCACAGGUAUGCAGUCUAACAAUUCACUAGGUUUCGUCUUGUUGUUUCUAGUUAAUUUACGGCUGAUCAAAAUCACGAGAGCAGAUAACCAAAAGUGGUAGAAUAACGCAUUAAAAUAUAUCUAAAAAAACUUAAAACUGGGUUCACGCUAUAAUGAGGAGUUCUCAAUUUGGUUGAGUAACGUAAUUAGUCAUACCUUUUUAUUUGAAAAAAAAAAUAUUUUUUAUCACUUGUUUUUUCUUGAUAAUUUUUUUUGCAUAAACAAUUUGAAAAUUUUGCAUCCGAGUUUGAACACAUGGCGCCCCUGAAAUCGAGUACAAAGUUGCUGAUGAUAUUGAAAAACCUAUCUGACAAUCUUUAUGUACCCCGAAAUCGAGAACAAUACAAAUCGGCCACAGGUAUGUUCUCCGUGACUAAUGCGACGUUAGAAUUGUUUGUCAGAUAGAUUACAGUACAGGAAUAUUAGAAAAGCUCUAUUCGAAUUUAAUCUACAUUGUGUGAUCGCGGUUCAUCAUUCGGGCUACUCGAUACUGACCUGUCCAUAUUAUAUUAAAUCGUAUUAGGGUAACUGGGUGGAAAUCAAUACGCCAUACGGUGUGACAACUACAUCUGACUGGUUGAGUAUUGCGGAACGAUUAACUUAUGUAGAAGUAUCUUUACAUAAUUUUUUUUUUUUUUAAAUAAAUAAAUACCUUCCUGUUCGAGUUCAAUAUUUUUUUGCAUAUCAUUUAUACUACGGCCGCUGGAUCACAAGAAAAAGAAACAAGCUGAAAAAGUCUGUUUGGGAGUAUCCACCGAGCAUUCAGUAUCGAAGCACAAAAACGUUACCUAACUCAUCGCCUGCACACUGAGAUGAUGGUCACAGGUAUGCAGUCUAACAAUUCACUAGGUUUCGUCUUGUUGUUUCUAGUUAAUUUACGGCUGAUCAAAAUCACGAGAGCAGAUAACCAAAAGUGGUAGAAUAACGCAUUAAAAUAUAUCUAAAAAAACUUAAAACUGGGUUCACGCUAUAAUGAGGAGUUCUCAAUUUGGUUGAGUAACGUAAUUAGUCAUACCUUUUUAUUUGAAAAAAAAAAUAUUUUUUAUCACUUGUUUUUUCUUGAUAAUUUUUUUUGCAUAAACAAUUUGAAAAUUUUGCAUCCGAGUUUGAACACAUGGCGCCCCUGAAAUCGAGUACAAAGUUGCUGAUGAUAUUGAAAAACCUAUCUGACAAUCUUUAUGUACCCCGAAAUCGAGAACAAUACAAAUCGGCCACAGGUAUGUUCUCCGUGACUAAUGCGACGUUAGAAUUGUUUGUCAGAUAGAUUACAGUACAGGAAUAUUAGAAAAGCUCUAUUCGAAUUUAAUCUACAUUGUGUGAUCGCGGUUCAUCAUUCGGGCUACUCGAUACUGACCUGUCCAUAUUAUAUUAAAUCGUAUUAGGGUAACUGGGUGGAAAUCAAUACGCCAUACGGUGUGACAACUACAUCUGACUGGUUGAGUAUUGCGGAACGAUUAACUUAUGUAGAAGUAUCUUUACAUAAUUUUUUUUUUUUUUAAAUAAAUAAAUACCUUCCUGUUCGAGUUCAAUAUUUUUUUGCAUAUCAUUUAUACUACGGCCGCUGGAUCACAAGAAAAAGAAACAAGCUGAAAAAGUCUGUUUGGGAGUAUCCACCGAGCAUUCAGUAUCGAAGCACAAAAACGUUACCUAACUCAUCGCCUGCACACUGAGAUGAUGGUCACAGGUAUGCAGUCUAACAAUUCACUAGGUUUCGUCUUGUUGUUUCUAGUUAAUUUACGGCUGAUCAAAAUCACGAGAGCAGAUAACCAAAAGUGGUAGAAUAACGCAUUAAAAUAUAUCUAAAAAAACUUAAAACUGGGUUCACGCUAUAAUGAGGAGUUCUCAAUUUGGUUGAGUAACGUAAUUAGUCAUACCUUUUUAUUUGAAAAAAAAAAUAUUUUUUAUCACUUGUUUUUUCUUGAUAAUUUUUUUUGCAUAAACAAUUUGAAAAUUUUGCAUCCGAGUUUGAACACAUGGCGCCCCUGAAAUCGAGUACAAAGUUGCUGAUGAUAUUGAAAAACCUAUCUGACAAUCUUUAUGUACCCCGAAAUCGAGAACAAUACAAAUCGGCCACAGGUAUGUUCUCCGUGACUAAUGCGACGUUAGAAUUGUUUGUCAGAUAGAUUACAGUACAGGAAUAUUAGAAAAGCUCUAUUCGAAUUUAAUCUACAUUGUGUGAUCGCGGUUCAUCAUUCGGGCUACUCGAUACUGACCUGUCCAUAUUAUAUUAAAUCGUAUUAGGGUAACUGGGUGGAAAUCAAUACGCCAUACGGUGUGACAACUACAUCUGACUGGUUGAGUAUUGCGGAACGAUUAACUUAUGUAGAAGUAUCUUUACAUAAUUUUUUUUUUUUUUAAAUAAAUAAAUACCUUCCUGUUCGAGUUCAAUAUUUUUUUGCAUAUCAUUUAUACUACGGCCGCUGGAUCACAAGAAAAAGAAACAAGCUGAAAAAGUCUGUUUGGGAGUAUCCACCGAGCAUUCAGUAUCGAAGCACAAAAACGUUACCUAACUCAUCGCCUGCACACUGAGAUGAUGGUCACAGGUAUGCAGUCUAACAAUUCACUAGGUUUCGUCUUGUUGUUUCUAGUUAAUUUACGGCUGAUCAAAAUCACGAGAGCAGAUAACCAAAAGUGGUAGAAUAACGCAUUAAAAUAUAUCUAAAAAAACUUAAAACUGGGUUCACGCUAUAAUGAGGAGUUCUCAAUUUGGUUGAGUAACGUAAUUAGUCAUACCUUUUUAUUUGAAAAAAAAAAUAUUUUUUAUCACUUGUUUUUUCUUGAUAAUUUUUUUUGCAUAAACAAUUUGAAAAUUUUGCAUCCGAGUUUGAACACAUGGCGCCCCUGAAAUCGAGUACAAAGUUGCUGAUGAUAUUGAAAAACCUAUCUGACAAUCUUUAUGUACCCCGAAAUCGAGAACAAUACAAAUCGGCCACAGGUAUGUUCUCCGUGACUAAUGCGACGUUAGAAUUGUUUGUCAGAUAGAUUACAGUACAGGAAUAUUAGAAAAGCUCUAUUCGAAUUUAAUCUACAUUGUGUGAUCGCGGUUCAUCAUUCGGGCUACUCGAUACUGACCUGUCCAUAUUAUAUUAAAUCGUAUUAGGGUAACUGGGUGGAAAUCAAUACGCCAUACGGUGUGACAACUACAUCUGACUGGUUGAGUAUUGCGGAACGAUUAACUUAUGUAGAAGUAUCUUUACAUAAUUUUUUUUUUUUUUAAAUAAAUAAAUACCUUCCUGUUCGAGUUCAAUAUUUUUUUGCAUAUCAUUUAUACUACGGCCGCUGGAUCACAAGAAAAAGAAACAAGCUGAAAAAGUCUGUUUGGGAGUAUCCACCGAGCAUUCAGUAUCGAAGCACAAAAACGUUACCUAACUCAUCGCCUGCACACUGAGAUGAUGGUCACAGGUAUGCAGUCUAACAAUUCACUAGGUUUCGUCUUGUUGUUUCUAGUUAAUUUACGGCUGAUCAAAAUCACGAGAGCAGAUAACCAAAAGUGGUAGAAUAACGCAUUAAAAUAUAUCUAAAAAAACUUAAAACUGGGUUCACGCUAUAAUGAGGAGUUCUCAAUUUGGUUGAGUAACGUAAUUAGUCAUACCUUUUUAUUUGAAAAAAAAAAUAUUUUUUAUCACUUGUUUUUUCUUGAUAAUUUUUUUUGCAUAAACAAUUUGAAAAUUUUGCAUCCGAGUUUGAACACAUGGCGCCCCUGAAAUCGAGUACAAAGUUGCUGAUGAUAUUGAAAAACCUAUCUGACAAUCUUUAUGUACCCCGAAAUCGAGAACAAUACAAAUCGGCCACAGGUAUGUUCUCCGUGACUAAUGCGACGUUAGAAUUGUUUGUCAGAUAGAUUACAGUACAGGAAUAUUAGAAAAGCUCUAUUCGAAUUUAAUCUACAUUGUGUGAUCGCGGUUCAUCAUUCGGGCUACUCGAUACUGACCUGUCCAUAUUAUAUUAAAUCGUAUUAGGGUAACUGGGUGGAAAUCAAUACGCCAUACGGUGUGACAACUACAUCUGACUGGUUGAGUAUUGCGGAACGAUUAACUUAUGUAGAAGUAUCUUUACAUAAUUUUUUUUUUUUUUAAAUAAAUAAAUACCUUCCUGUUCGAGUUCAAUAUUUUUUUGCAUAUCAUUUAUACUACGGCCGCUGGAUCACAAGAAAAAGAAACAAGCUGAAAAAGUCUGUUUGGGAGUAUCCACCGAGCAUUCAGUAUCGAAGCACAAAAACGUUACCUAACUCAUCGCCUGCACACUGAGAUGAUGGUCACAGGUAUGCAGUCUAACAAUUCACUAGGUUUCGUCUUGUUGUUUCUAGUUAAUUUACGGCUGAUCAAAAUCACGAGAGCAGAUAACCAAAAGUGGUAGAAUAACGCAUUAAAAUAUAUCUAAAAAAACUUAAAACUGGGUUCACGCUAUAAUGAGGAGUUCUCAAUUUGGUUGAGUAACGUAAUUAGUCAUACCUUUUUAUUUGAAAAAAAAAAUAUUUUUUAUCACUUGUUUUUUCUUGAUAAUUUUUUUUGCAUAAACAAUUUGAAAAUUUUGCAUCCGAGUUUGAACACAUGGCGCCCCUGAAAUCGAGUACAAAGUUGCUGAUGAUAUUGAAAAACCUAUCUGACAAUCUUUAUGUACCCCGAAAUCGAGAACAAUACAAAUCGGCCACAGGUAUGUUCUCCGUGACUAAUGCGACGUUAGAAUUGUUUGUCAGAUAGAUUACAGUACAGGAAUAUUAGAAAAGCUCUAUUCGAAUUUAAUCUACAUUGUGUGAUCGCGGUUCAUCAUUCGGGCUACUCGAUACUGACCUGUCCAUAUUAUAUUAAAUCGUAUUAGGGUAACUGGGUGGAAAUCAAUACGCCAUACGGUGUGACAACUACAUCUGACUGGUUGAGUAUUGCGGAACGAUUAACUUAUGUAGAAGUAUCUUUACAUAAUUUUUUUUUUUUUUAAAUAAAUAAAUACCUUCCUGUUCGAGUUCAAUAUUUUUUUGCAUAUCAUUUAUACUACGGCCGCUGGAUCACAAGAAAAAGAAACAAGCUGAAAAAGUCUGUUUGGGAGUAUCCACCGAGCAUUCAGUAUCGAAGCACAAAAACGUUACCUAACUCAUCGCCUGCACACUGAGAUGAUGGUCACAGGUAUGCAGUCUAACAAUUCACUAGGUUUCGUCUUGUUGUUUCUAGUUAAUUUACGGCUGAUCAAAAUCACGAGAGCAGAUAACCAAAAGUGGUAGAAUAACGCAUUAAAAUAUAUCUAAAAAAACUUAAAACUGGGUUCACGCUAUAAUGAGGAGUUCUCAAUUUGGUUGAGUAACGUAAUUAGUCAUACCUUUUUAUUUGAAAAAAAAAAUAUUUUUUAUCACUUGUUUUUUCUUGAUAAUUUUUUUUGCAUAAACAAUUUGAAAAUUUUGCAUCCGAGUUUGAACACAUGGCGCCCCUGAAAUCGAGUACAAAGUUGCUGAUGAUAUUGAAAAACCUAUCUGACAAUCUUUAUGUACCCCGAAAUCGAGAACAAUACAAAUCGGCCACAGGUAUGUUCUCCGUGACUAAUGCGACGUUAGAAUUGUUUGUCAGAUAGAUUACAGUACAGGAAUAUUAGAAAAGCUCUAUUCGAAUUUAAUCUACAUUGUGUGAUCGCGGUUCAUCAUUCGGGCUACUCGAUACUGACCUGUCCAUAUUAUAUUAAAUCGUAUUAGGGUAACUGGGUGGAAAUCAAUACGCCAUACGGUGUGACAACUACAUCUGACUGGUUGAGUAUUGCGGAACGAUUAACUUAUGUAGAAGUAUCUUUACAUAAUUUUUUUUUUUUUUAAAUAAAUAAAUACCUUCCUGUUCGAGUUCAAUAUUUUUUUGCAUAUCAUUUAUACUACGGCCGCUGGAUCACAAGAAAAAGAAACAAGCUGAAAAAGUCUGUUUGGGAGUAUCCACCGAGCAUUCAGUAUCGAAGCACAAAAACGUUACCUAACUCAUCGCCUGCACACUGAGAUGAUGGUCACAGGUAUGCAGUCUAACAAUUCACUAGGUUUCGUCUUGUUGUUUCUAGUUAAUUUACGGCUGAUCAAAAUCACGAGAGCAGAUAACCAAAAGUGGUAGAAUAACGCAUUAAAAUAUAUCUAAAAAAACUUAAAACUGGGUUCACGCUAUAAUGAGGAGUUCUCAAUUUGGUUGAGUAACGUAAUUAGUCAUACCUUUUUAUUUGAAAAAAAAAAUAUUUUUUAUCACUUGUUUUUUCUUGAUAAUUUUUUUUGCAUAAACAAUUUGAAAAUUUUGCAUCCGAGUUUGAACACAUGGCGCCCCUGAAAUCGAGUACAAAGUUGCUGAUGAUAUUGAAAAACCUAUCUGACAAUCUUUAUGUACCCCGAAAUCGAGAACAAUACAAAUCGGCCACAGGUAUGUUCUCCGUGACUAAUGCGACGUUAGAAUUGUUUGUCAGAUAGAUUACAGUACAGGAAUAUUAGAAAAGCUCUAUUCGAAUUUAAUCUACAUUGUGUGAUCGCGGUUCAUCAUUCGGGCUACUCGAUACUGACCUGUCCAUAUUAUAUUAAAUCGUAUUAGGGUAACUGGGUGGAAAUCAAUACGCCAUACGGUGUGACAACUACAUCUGACUGGUUGAGUAUUGCGGAACGAUUAACUUAUGUAGAAGUAUCUUUACAUAAUUUUUUUUUUUUUUAAAUAAAUAAAUACCUUCCUGUUCGAGUUCAAUAUUUUUUUGCAUAUCAUUUAUACUACGGCCGCUGGAUCACAAGAAAAAGAAACAAGCUGAAAAAGUCUGUUUGGGAGUAUCCACCGAGCAUUCAGUAUCGAAGCACAAAAACGUUACCUAACUCAUCGCCUGCACACUGAGAUGAUGGUCACAGGUAUGCAGUCUAACAAUUCACUAGGUUUCGUCUUGUUGUUUCUAGUUAAUUUACGGCUGAUCAAAAUCACGAGAGCAGAUAACCAAAAGUGGUAGAAUAACGCAUUAAAAUAUAUCUAAAAAAACUUAAAACUGGGUUCACGCUAUAAUGAGGAGUUCUCAAUUUGGUUGAGUAACGUAAUUAGUCAUACCUUUUUAUUUGAAAAAAAAAAUAUUUUUUAUCACUUGUUUUUUCUUGAUAAUUUUUUUUGCAUAAACAAUUUGAAAAUUUUGCAUCCGAGUUUGAACACAUGGCGCCCCUGAAAUCGAGUACAAAGUUGCUGAUGAUAUUGAAAAACCUAUCUGACAAUCUUUAUGUACCCCGAAAUCGAGAACAAUACAAAUCGGCCACAGGUAUGUUCUCCGUGACUAAUGCGACGUUAGAAUUGUUUGUCAGAUAGAUUACAGUACAGGAAUAUUAGAAAAGCUCUAUUCGAAUUUAAUCUACAUUGUGUGAUCGCGGUUCAUCAUUCGGGCUACUCGAUACUGACCUGUCCAUAUUAUAUUAAAUCGUAUUAGGGUAACUGGGUGGAAAUCAAUACGCCAUACGGUGUGACAACUACAUCUGACUGGUUGAGUAUUGCGGAACGAUUAACUUAUGUAGAAGUAUCUUUACAUAAUUUUUUUUUUUUUUAAAUAAAUAAAUACCUUCCUGUUCGAGUUCAAUAUUUUUUUGCAUAUCAUUUAUACUACGGCCGCUGGAUCACAAGAAAAAGAAACAAGCUGAAAAAGUCUGUUUGGGAGUAUCCACCGAGCAUUCAGUAUCGAAGCACAAAAACGUUACCUAACUCAUCGCCUGCACACUGAGAUGAUGGUCACAGGUAUGCAGUCUAACAAUUCACUAGGUUUCGUCUUGUUGUUUCUAGUUAAUUUACGGCUGAUCAAAAUCACGAGAGCAGAUAACCAAAAGUGGUAGAAUAACGCAUUAAAAUAUAUCUAAAAAAACUUAAAACUGGGUUCACGCUAUAAUGAGGAGUUCUCAAUUUGGUUGAGUAACGUAAUUAGUCAUACCUUUUUAUUUGAAAAAAAAAAUAUUUUUUAUCACUUGUUUUUUCUUGAUAAUUUUUUUUGCAUAAACAAUUUGAAAAUUUUGCAUCCGAGUUUGAACACAUGGCGCCCCUGAAAUCGAGUACAAAGUUGCUGAUGAUAUUGAAAAACCUAUCUGACAAUCUUUAUGUACCCCGAAAUCGAGAACAAUACAAAUCGGCCACAGGUAUGUUCUCCGUGACUAAUGCGACGUUAGAAUUGUUUGUCAGAUAGAUUACAGUACAGGAAUAUUAGAAAAGCUCUAUUCGAAUUUAAUCUACAUUGUGUGAUCGCGGUUCAUCAUUCGGGCUACUCGAUACUGACCUGUCCAUAUUAUAUUAAAUCGUAUUAGGGUAACUGGGUGGAAAUCAAUACGCCAUACGGUGUGACAACUACAUCUGACUGGUUGAGUAUUGCGGAACGAUUAACUUAUGUAGAAGUAUCUUUACAUAAUUUUUUUUUUUUUUAAAUAAAUAAAUACCUUCCUGUUCGAGUUCAAUAUUUUUUUGCAUAUCAUUUAUACUACGGCCGCUGGAUCACAAGAAAAAGAAACAAGCUGAAAAAGUCUGUUUGGGAGUAUCCACCGAGCAUUCAGUAUCGAAGCACAAAAACGUUACCUAACUCAUCGCCUGCACACUGAGAUGAUGGUCACAGGUAUGCAGUCUAACAAUUCACUAGGUUUCGUCUUGUUGUUUCUAGUUAAUUUACGGCUGAUCAAAAUCACGAGAGCAGAUAACCAAAAGUGGUAGAAUAACGCAUUAAAAUAUAUCUAAAAAAACUUAAAACUGGGUUCACGCUAUAAUGAGGAGUUCUCAAUUUGGUUGAGUAACGUAAUUAGUCAUACCUUUUUAUUUGAAAAAAAAAAUAUUUUUUAUCACUUGUUUUUUCUUGAUAAUUUUUUUUGCAUAAACAAUUUGAAAAUUUUGCAUCCGAGUUUGAACACAUGGCGCCCCUGAAAUCGAGUACAAAGUUGCUGAUGAUAUUGAAAAACCUAUCUGACAAUCUUUAUGUACCCCGAAAUCGAGAACAAUACAAAUCGGCCACAGGUAUGUUCUCCGUGACUAAUGCGACGUUAGAAUUGUUUGUCAGAUAGAUUACAGUACAGGAAUAUUAGAAAAGCUCUAUUCGAAUUUAAUCUACAUUGUGUGAUCGCGGUUCAUCAUUCGGGCUACUCGAUACUGACCUGUCCAUAUUAUAUUAAAUCGUAUUAGGGUAACUGGGUGGAAAUCAAUACGCCAUACGGUGUGACAACUACAUCUGACUGGUUGAGUAUUGCGGAACGAUUAACUUAUGUAGAAGUAUCUUUACAUAAUUUUUUUUUUUUUUAAAUAAAUAAAUACCUUCCUGUUCGAGUUCAAUAUUUUUUUGCAUAUCAUUUAUACUACGGCCGCUGGAUCACAAGAAAAAGAAACAAGCUGAAAAAGUCUGUUUGGGAGUAUCCACCGAGCAUUCAGUAUCGAAGCACAAAAACGUUACCUAACUCAUCGCCUGCACACUGAGAUGAUGGUCACAGGUAUGCAGUCUAACAAUUCACUAGGUUUCGUCUUGUUGUUUCUAGUUAAUUUACGGCUGAUCAAAAUCACGAGAGCAGAUAACCAAAAGUGGUAGAAUAACGCAUUAAAAUAUAUCUAAAAAAACUUAAAACUGGGUUCACGCUAUAAUGAGGAGUUCUCAAUUUGGUUGAGUAACGUAAUUAGUCAUACCUUUUUAUUUGAAAAAAAAAAUAUUUUUUAUCACUUGUUUUUUCUUGAUAAUUUUUUUUGCAUAAACAAUUUGAAAAUUUUGCAUCCGAGUUUGAACACAUGGCGCCCCUGAAAUCGAGUACAAAGUUGCUGAUGAUAUUGAAAAACCUAUCUGACAAUCUUUAUGUACCCCGAAAUCGAGAACAAUACAAAUCGGCCACAGGUAUGUUCUCCGUGACUAAUGCGACGUUAGAAUUGUUUGUCAGAUAGAUUACAGUACAGGAAUAUUAGAAAAGCUCUAUUCGAAUUUAAUCUACAUUGUGUGAUCGCGGUUCAUCAUUCGGGCUACUCGAUACUGACCUGUCCAUAUUAUAUUAAAUCGUAUUAGGGUAACUGGGUGGAAAUCAAUACGCCAUACGGUGUGACAACUACAUCUGACUGGUUGAGUAUUGCGGAACGAUUAACUUAUGUAGAAGUAUCUUUACAUAAUUUUUUUUUUUUUUAAAUAAAUAAAUACCUUCCUGUUCGAGUUCAAUAUUUUUUUGCAUAUCAUUUAUACUACGGCCGCUGGAUCACAAGAAAAAGAAACAAGCUGAAAAAGUCUGUUUGGGAGUAUCCACCGAGCAUUCAGUAUCGAAGCACAAAAACGUUACCUAACUCAUCGCCUGCACACUGAGAUGAUGGUCACAGGUAUGCAGUCUAACAAUUCACUAGGUUUCGUCUUGUUGUUUCUAGUUAAUUUACGGCUGAUCAAAAUCACGAGAGCAGAUAACCAAAAGUGGUAGAAUAACGCAUUAAAAUAUAUCUAAAAAAACUUAAAACUGGGUUCACGCUAUAAUGAGGAGUUCUCAAUUUGGUUGAGUAACGUAAUUAGUCAUACCUUUUUAUUUGAAAAAAAAAAUAUUUUAUAUCACUUGUUUUUUCUUGAUAAUUUUUUUUGCAUAAACAAUUUGAAAAUUUUGCAUCCGAGUUUGAACACAUGGCGCCCCUGAAAUCGAGUACAAAGUUGCUGAUGAUAUUGAAAAACCUAUCUGACAAUCUUUAUGUACCCCGAAAUCGAGAACAAUACAAAUCGGCCACAGGUAUGUUCUCCGUGACUAAUGCGACGUUAGAAUUGUUUGUCAGAUAGAUUACAGUACAGGAAUAUUAGAAAAGCUCUAUUCGAAUUUAAUCUACAUUGUGUGAUCGCGGUUCAUCAUUCGGGCUACUCGAUACUGACCUGUCCAUAUUAUAUUAAAUCGUAUUAGGGUAACUGGGUGGAAAUCAAUACGCCAUACGGUGUGACAACUACAUCUGACUGGUUGAGUAUUGCGGAACGAUUAACUUAUGUAGAAGUAUCUUUACAUAAUUUUUUUUUUUUUUAAAUAAAUAAAUACCUUCCUGUUCGAGUUCAAUAUUUUUUUGCAUAUCAUUUAUACUACGGCCGCUGGAUCACAAGAAAAAGAAACAAGCUGAAAAAGUCUGUUUGGGAGUAUCCACCGAGCAUUCAGUAUCGAAGCACAAAAACGUUACCUAACUCAUCGCCUGCACACUGAGAUGAUGGUCACAGGUAUGCAGUCUAACAAUUCACUAGGUUUCGUCUUGUUGUUUCUAGUUAAUUUACGGCUGAUCAAAAUCACGAGAGCAGAUAACCAAAAGUGGUAGAAUAACGCAUUAAAAUAUAUCUAAAAAAACUUAAAACUGGGUUCACGCUAUAAUGAGGAGUUCUCAAUUUGGUUGAGUAACGUAAUUAGUCAUACCUUUUUAUUUGAAAAAAAAAAUAUUUUUUAUCACUUGUUUUUUCUUGAUAAUUUUUUUUGCAUAAACAAUUUGAAAAUUUUGCAUCCGAGUUUGAACACAUGGCGCCCCUGAAAUCGAGUACAAAGUUGCUGAUGAUAUUGAAAAACCUAUCUGACAAUCUUUAUGUACCCCGAAAUCGAGAACAAUACAAAUCGGCCACAGGUAUGUUCUCCGUGACUAAUGCGACGUUAGAAUUGUUUGUCAGAUAGAUUACAGUACAGGAAUAUUAGAAAAGCUCUAUUCGAAUUUAAUCUACAUUGUGUGAUCGCGGUUCAUCAUUCGGGCUACUCGAUACUGACCUGUCCAUAUUAUAUUAAAUCGUAUUAGGGUAACUGGGUGGAAAUCAAUACGCCAUACGGUGUGACAACUACAUCUGACUGGUUGAGUAUUGCGGAACGAUUAACUUAUGUAGAAGUAUCUUUACAUAAUUUUUUUUUUUUUUAAAUAAAUAAAUACCUUCCUGUUCGAGUUCAAUAUUUUUUUGCAUAUCAUUUAUACUACGGCCGCUGGAUCACAAGAAAAAGAAACAAGCUGAAAAAGUCUGUUUGGGAGUAUCCACCGAGCAUUCAGUAUCGAAGCACAAAAACGUUACCUAACUCAUCGCCUGCACACUGAGAUGAUGGUCACAGGUAUGCAGUCUAACAAUUCACUAGGUUUCGUCUUGUUGUUUCUAGUUAAUUUACGGCUGAUCAAAAUCACGAGAGCAGAUAACCAAAAGUGGUAGAAUAACGCAUUAAAAUAUAUCUAAAAAAACUUAAAACUGGGUUCACGCUAUAAUGAGGAGUUCUCAAUUUGGUUGAGUAACGUAAUUAGUCAUACCUUUUUAUUUGAAAAAAAAAAUAUUUUUUAUCACUUGUUUUUUCUUGAUAAUUUUUUUUGCAUAAACAAUUUGAAAAUUUUGCAUCCGAGUUUGAACACAUGGCGCCCCUGAAAUCGAGUACAAAGUUGCUGAUGAUAUUGAAAAACCUAUCUGACAAUCUUUAUGUACCCCGAAAUCGAGAACAAUACAAAUCGGCCACAGGUAUGUUCUCCGUGACUAAUGCGACGUUAGAAUUGUUUGUCAGAUAGAUUACAGUACAGGAAUAUUAGAAAAGCUCUAUUCGAAUUUAAUCUACAUUGUGUGAUCGCGGUUCAUCAUUCGGGCUACUCGAUACUGACCUGUCCAUAUUAUAUUAAAUCGUAUUAGGGUAACUGGGUGGAAAUCAAUACGCCAUACGGUGUGACAACUACAUCUGACUGGUUGAGUAUUGCGGAACGAUUAACUUAUGUAGAAGUAUCUUUACAUAAUUUUUUUUUUUUUUAAAUAAAUAAAUACCUUCCUGUUCGAGUUCAAUAUUUUUUUGCAUAUCAUUUAUACUACGGCCGCUGGAUCACAAGAAAAAGAAACAAGCUGAAAAAGUCUGUUUGGGAGUAUCCACCGAGCAUUCAGUAUCGAAGCACAAAAACGUUACCUAACUCAUCGCCUGCACACUGAGAUGAUGGUCACAGGUAUGCAGUCUAACAAUUCACUAGGUUUCGUCUUGUUGUUUCUAGUUAAUUUACGGCUGAUCAAAAUCACGAGAGCAGAUAACCAAAAGUGGUAGAAUAACGCAUUAAAAUAUAUCUAAAAAAACUUAAAACUGGGUUCACGCUAUAAUGAGGAGUUCUCAAUUUGGUUGAGUAACGUAAUUAGUCAUACCUUUUUAUUUGAAAAAAAAAAUAUUUUAUAUCACUUGUUUUUUCUUGAUAAUUUUUUUUGCAUAAACAAUUUGAAAAUUUUGCAUCCGAGUUUGAACACAUGGCGCCCCUGAAAUCGAGUACAAAGUUGCUGAUGAUAUUGAAAAACCUAUCUGACAAUCUUUAUGUACCCCGAAAUCGAGAACAAUACAAAUCGGCCACAGGUAUGUUCUCCGUGACUAAUGCGACGUUAGAAUUGUUUGUCAGAUAGAUUACAGUACAGGAAUAUUAGAAAAGCUCUAUUCGAAUUUAAUCUACAUUGUGUGAUCGCGGUUCAUCAUUCGGGCUACUCGAUACUGACCUGUCCAUAUUAUAUUAAAUCGUAUUAGGGUAACUGGGUGGAAAUCAAUACGCCAUACGGUGUGACAACUACAUCUGACUGGUUGAGUAUUGCGGAACGAUUAACUUAUGUAGAAGUAUCUUUACAUAAUUUUUUUUUUUUUUAAAUAAAUAAAUACCUUCCUGUUCGAGUUCAAUAUUUUUUUGCAUAUCAUUUAUACUACGGCCGCUGGAUCACAAGAAAAAGAAACAAGCUGAAAAAGUCUGUUUGGGAGUAUCCACCGAGCAUUCAGUAUCGAAGCACAAAAACGUUACCUAACUCAUCGCCUGCACACUGAGAUGAUGGUCACAGGUAUGCAGUCUAACAAUUCACUAGGUUUCGUCUUGUUGUUUCUAGUUAAUUUACGGCUGAUCAAAAUCACGAGAGCAGAUAACCAAAAGUGGUAGAAUAACGCAUUAAAAUAUAUCUAAAAAAACUUAAAACUGGGUUCACGCUAUAAUGAGGAGUUCUCAAUUUGGUUGAGUAACGUAAUUAGUCAUACCUUUUUAUUUGAAAAAAAAAAUAUUUUAUAUCACUUGUUUUUUCUUGAUAAUUUUUUUUGCAUAAACAAUUUGAAAAUUUUGCAUCCGAGUUUGAACACAUGGCGCCCCUGAAAUCGAGUACAAAGUUGCUGAUGAUAUUGAAAAACCUAUCUGACAAUCUUUAUGUACCCCGAAAUCGAGAACAAUACAAAUCGGCCACAGGUAUGUUCUCCGUGACUAAUGCGACGUUAGAAUUGUUUGUCAGAUAGAUUACAGUACAGGAAUAUUAGAAAAGCUCUAUUCGAAUUUAAUCUACAUUGUGUGAUCGCGGUUCAUCAUUCGGGCUACUCGAUACUGACCUGUCCAUAUUAUAUUAAAUCGUAUUAGGGUAACUGGGUGGAAAUCAAUACGCCAUACGGUGUGACAACUACAUCUGACUGGUUGAGUAUUGCGGAACGAUUAACUUAUGUAGAAGUAUCUUUACAUAAUUUUUUUUUUUUUUAAAUAAAUAAAUACCUUCCUGUUCGAGUUCAAUAUUUUUUUGCAUAUCAUUUAUACUACGGCCGCUGGAUCACAAGAAAAAGAAACAAGCUGAAAAAGUCUGUUUGGGAGUAUCCACCGAGCAUUCAGUAUCGAAGCACAAAAACGUUACCUAACUCAUCGCCUGCACACUGAGAUGAUGGUCACAGGUAUGCAGUCUAACAAUUCACUAGGUUUCGUCUUGUUGUUUCUAGUUAAUUUACGGCUGAUCAAAAUCACGAGAGCAGAUAACCAAAAGUGGUAGAAUAACGCAUUAAAAUAUAUCUAAAAAAACUUAAAACUGGGUUCACGCUAUAAUGAGGAGUUCUCAAUUUGGUUGAGUAACGUAAUUAGUCAUACCUUUUUAUUUGAAAAAAAAAAUAUUUUUUAUCACUUGUUUUUUCUUGAUAAUUUUUUUUGCAUAAACAAUUUGAAAAUUUUGCAUCCGAGUUUGAACACAUGGCGCCCCUGAAAUCGAGUACAAAGUUGCUGAUGAUAUUGAAAAACCUAUCUGACAAUCUUUAUGUACCCCGAAAUCGAGAACAAUACAAAUCGGCCACAGGUAUGUUCUCCGUGACUAAUGCGACGUUAGAAUUGUUUGUCAGAUAGAUUACAGUACAGGAAUAUUAGAAAAGCUCUAUUCGAAUUUAAUCUACAUUGUGUGAUCGCGGUUCAUCAUUCGGGCUACUCGAUACUGACCUGUCCAUAUUAUAUUAAAUCGUAUUAGGGUAACUGGGUGGAAAUCAAUACGCCAUACGGUGUGACAACUACAUCUGACUGGUUGAGUAUUGCGGAACGAUUAACUUAUGUAGAAGUAUCUUUACAUAAUUUUUUUUUUUUUUAAAUAAAUAAAUACCUUCCUGUUCGAGUUCAAUAUUUUUUUGCAUAUCAUUUAUACUACGGCCGCUGGAUCACAAGAAAAAGAAACAAGCUGAAAAAGUCUGUUUGGGAGUAUCCACCGAGCAUUCAGUAUCGAAGCACAAAAACGUUACCUAACUCAUCGCCUGCACACUGAGAUGAUGGUCACAGGUAUGCAGUCUAACAAUUCACUAGGUUUCGUCUUGUUGUUUCUAGUUAAUUUACGGCUGAUCAAAAUCACGAGAGCAGAUAACCAAAAGUGGUAGAAUAACGCAUUAAAAUAUAUCUAAAAAAACUUAAAACUGGGUUCACGCUAUAAUGAGGAGUUCUCAAUUUGGUUGAGUAACGUAAUUAGUCAUACCUUUUUAUUUGAAAAAAAAAAUAUUUUUUAUCACUUGUUUUUUCUUGAUAAUUUUUUUUGCAUAAACAAUUUGAAAAUUUUGCAUCCGAGUUUGAACACAUGGCGCCCCUGAAAUCGAGUACAAAGUUGCUGAUGAUAUUGAAAAACCUAUCUGACAAUCUUUAUGUACCCCGAAAUCGAGAACAAUACAAAUCGGCCACAGGUAUGUUCUCCGUGACUAAUGCGACGUUAGAAUUGUUUGUCAGAUAGAUUACAGUACAGGAAUAUUAGAAAAGCUCUAUUCGAAUUUAAUCUACAUUGUGUGAUCGCGGUUCAUCAUUCGGGCUACUCGAUACUGACCUGUCCAUAUUAUAUUAAAUCGUAUUAGGGUAACUGGGUGGAAAUCAAUACGCCAUACGGUGUGACAACUACAUCUGACUGGUUGAGUAUUGCGGAACGAUUAACUUAUGUAGAAGUAUCUUUACAUAAUUUUUUUUUUUUUUAAAUAAAUAAAUACCUUCCUGUUCGAGUUCAAUAUUUUUUUGCAUAUCAUUUAUACUACGGCCGCUGGAUCACAAGAAAAAGAAACAAGCUGAAAAAGUCUGUUUGGGAGUAUCCACCGAGCAUUCAGUAUCGAAGCACAAAAACGUUACCUAACUCAUCGCCUGCACACUGAGAUGAUGGUCACAGGUAUGCAGUCUAACAAUUCACUAGGUUUCGUCUUGUUGUUUCUAGUUAAUUUACGGCUGAUCAAAAUCACGAGAGCAGAUAACCAAAAGUGGUAGAAUAACGCAUUAAAAUAUAUCUAAAAAAACUUAAAACUGGGUUCACGCUAUAAUGAGGAGUUCUCAAUUUGGUUGAGUAACGUAAUUAGUCAUACCUUUUUAUUUGAAAAAAAAAAUAUUUUAUAUCACUUGUUUUUUCUUGAUAAUUUUUUUUGCAUAAACAAUUUGAAAAUUUUGCAUCCGAGUUUGAACACAUGGCGCCCCUGAAAUCGAGUACAAAGUUGCUGAUGAUAUUGAAAAACCUAUCUGACAAUCUUUAUGUACCCCGAAAUCGAGAACAAUACAAAUCGGCCACAGGUAUGUUCUCCGUGACUAAUGCGACGUUAGAAUUGUUUGUCAGAUAGAUUACAGUACAGGAAUAUUAGAAAAGCUCUAUUCGAAUUUAAUCUACAUUGUGUGAUCGCGGUUCAUCAUUCGGGCUACUCGAUACUGACCUGUCCAUAUUAUAUUAAAUCGUAUUAGGGUAACUGGGUGGAAAUCAAUACGCCAUACGGUGUGACAACUACAUCUGACUGGUUGAGUAUUGCGGAACGAUUAACUUAUGUAGAAGUAUCUUUACAUAAUUUUUUUUUUUUUUAAAUAAAUAAAUACCUUCCUGUUCGAGUUCAAUAUUUUUUUGCAUAUCAUUUAUACUACGGCCGCUGGAUCACAAGAAAAAGAAACAAGCUGAAAAAGUCUGUUUGGGAGUAUCCACCGAGCAUUCAGUAUCGAAGCACAAAAACGUUACCUAACUCAUCGCCUGCACACUGAGAUGAUGGUCACAGGUAUGCAGUCUAACAAUUCACUAGGUUUCGUCUUGUUGUUUCUAGUUAAUUUACGGCUGAUCAAAAUCACGAGAGCAGAUAACCAAAAGUGGUAGAAUAACGCAUUAAAAUAUAUCUAAAAAAACUUAAAACUGGGUUCACGCUAUAAUGAGGAGUUCUCAAUUUGGUUGAGUAACGUAAUUAGUCAUACCUUUUUAUUUGAAAAAAAAAAUAUUUUAUAUCACUUGUUUUUUCUUGAUAAUUUUUUUUGCAUAAACAAUUUGAAAAUUUUGCAUCCGAGUUUGAACACAUGGCGCCCCUGAAAUCGAGUACAAAGUUGCUGAUGAUAUUGAAAAACCUAUCUGACAAUCUUUAUGUACCCCGAAAUCGAGAACAAUACAAAUCGGCCACAGGUAUGUUCUCCGUGACUAAUGCGACGUUAGAAUUGUUUGUCAGAUAGAUUACAGUACAGGAAUAUUAGAAAAGCUCUAUUCGAAUUUAAUCUACAUUGUGUGAUCGCGGUUCAUCAUUCGGGCUACUCGAUACUGACCUGUCCAUAUUAUAUUAAAUCGUAUUAGGGUAACUGGGUGGAAAUCAAUACGCCAUACGGUGUGACAACUACAUCUGACUGGUUGAGUAUUGCGGAACGAUUAACUUAUGUAGAAGUAUCUUUACAUAAUUUUUUUUUUUUUUAAAUAAAUAAAUACCUUCCUGUUCGAGUUCAAUAUUUUUUUGCAUAUCAUUUAUACUACGGCCGCUGGAUCACAAGAAAAAGAAACAAGCUGAAAAAGUCUGUUUGGGAGUAUCCACCGAGCAUUCAGUAUCGAAGCACAAAAACGUUACCUAACUCAUCGCCUGCACACUGAGAUGAUGGUCACAGGUAUGCAGUCUAACAAUUCACUAGGUUUCGUCUUGUUGUUUCUAGUUAAUUUACGGCUGAUCAAAAUCACGAGAGCAGAUAACCAAAAGUGGUAGAAUAACGCAUUAAAAUAUAUCUAAAAAAACUUAAAACUGGGUUCACGCUAUAAUGAGGAGUUCUCAAUUUGGUUGAGUAACGUAAUUAGUCAUACCUUUUUAUUUGAAAAAAAAAAUAUUUUAUAUCACUUGUUUUUUCUUGAUAAUUUUUUUUGCAUAAACAAUUUGAAAAUUUUGCAUCCGAGUUUGAACACAUGGCGCCCCUGAAAUCGAGUACAAAGUUGCUGAUGAUAUUGAAAAACCUAUCUGACAAUCUUUAUGUACCCCGAAAUCGAGAACAAUACAAAUCGGCCACAGGUAUGUUCUCCGUGACUAAUGCGACGUUAGAAUUGUUUGUCAGAUAGAUUACAGUACAGGAAUAUUAGAAAAGCUCUAUUCGAAUUUAAUCUACAUUGUGUGAUCGCGGUUCAUCAUUCGGGCUACUCGAUACUGACCUGUCCAUAUUAUAUUAAAUCGUAUUAGGGUAACUGGGUGGAAAUCAAUACGCCAUACGGUGUGACAACUACAUCUGACUGGUUGAGUAUUGCGGAACGAUUAACUUAUGUAGAAGUAUCUUUACAUAAUUUUUUUUUUUUUUAAAUAAAUAAAUACCUUCCUGUUCGAGUUCAAUAUUUUUUUGCAUAUCAUUUAUACUACGGCCGCUGGAUCACAAGAAAAAGAAACAAGCUGAAAAAGUCUGUUUGGGAGUAUCCACCGAGCAUUCAGUAUCGAAGCACAAAAACGUUACCUAACUCAUCGCCUGCACACUGAGAUGAUGGUCACAGGUAUGCAGUCUAACAAUUCACUAGGUUUCGUCUUGUUGUUUCUAGUUAAUUUACGGCUGAUCAAAAUCACGAGAGCAGAUAACCAAAAGUGGUAGAAUAACGCAUUAAAAUAUAUCUAAAAAAACUUAAAACUGGGUUCACGCUAUAAUGAGGAGUUCUCAAUUUGGUUGAGUAACGUAAUUAGUCAUACCUUUUUAUUUGAAAAAAAAAAUAUUUUAUAUCACUUGUUUUUUCUUGAUAAUUUUUUUUGCAUAAACAAUUUGAAAAUUUUGCAUCCGAGUUUGAACACAUGGCGCCCCUGAAAUCGAGUACAAAGUUGCUGAUGAUAUUGAAAAACCUAUCUGACAAUCUUUAUGUACCCCGAAAUCGAGAACAAUACAAAUCGGCCACAGGUAUGUUCUCCGUGACUAAUGCGACGUUAGAAUUGUUUGUCAGAUAGAUUACAGUACAGGAAUAUUAGAAAAGCUCUAUUCGAAUUUAAUCUACAUUGUGUGAUCGCGGUUCAUCAUUCGGGCUACUCGAUACUGACCUGUCCAUAUUAUAUUAAAUCGUAUUAGGGUAACUGGGUGGAAAUCAAUACGCCAUACGGUGUGACAACUACAUCUGACUGGUUGAGUAUUGCGGAACGAUUAACUUAUGUAGAAGUAUCUUUACAUAAUUUUUUUUUUUUUUAAAUAAAUAAAUACCUUCCUGUUCGAGUUCAAUAUUUUUUUGCAUAUCAUUUAUACUACGGCCGCUGGAUCACAAGAAAAAGAAACAAGCUGAAAAAGUCUGUUUGGGAGUAUCCACCGAGCAUUCAGUAUCGAAGCACAAAAACGUUACCUAACUCAUCGCCUGCACACUGAGAUGAUGGUCACAGGUAUGCAGUCUAACAAUUCACUAGGUUUCGUCUUGUUGUUUCUAGUUAAUUUACGGCUGAUCAAAAUCACGAGAGCAGAUAACCAAAAGUGGUAGAAUAACGCAUUAAAAUAUAUCUAAAAAAACUUAAAACUGGGUUCACGCUAUAAUGAGGAGUUCUCAAUUUGGUUGAGUAACGUAAUUAGUCAUACCUUUUUAUUUGAAAAAAAAAAUAUUUUUUAUCACUUGUUUUUUCUUGAUAAUUUUUUUUGCAUAAACAAUUUGAAAAUUUUGCAUCCGAGUUUGAACACAUGGCGCCCCUGAAAUCGAGUACAAAGUUGCUGAUGAUAUUGAAAAACCUAUCUGACAAUCUUUAUGUACCCCGAAAUCGAGAACAAUACAAAUCGGCCACAGGUAUGUUCUCCGUGACUAAUGCGACGUUAGAAUUGUUUGUCAGAUAGAUUACAGUACAGGAAUAUUAGAAAAGCUCUAUUCGAAUUUAAUCUACAUUGUGUGAUCGCGGUUCAUCAUUCGGGCUACUCGAUACUGACCUGUCCAUAUUAUAUUAAAUCGUAUUAGGGUAACUGGGUGGAAAUCAAUACGCCAUACGGUGUGACAACUACAUCUGACUGGUUGAGUAUUGCGGAACGAUUAACUUAUGUAGAAGUAUCUUUACAUAAUUUUUUUUUUUUUUAAAUAAAUAAAUACCUUCCUGUUCGAGUUCAAUAUUUUUUUGCAUAUCAUUUAUACUACGGCCGCUGGAUCACAAGAAAAAGAAACAAGCUGAAAAAGUCUGUUUGGGAGUAUCCACCGAGCAUUCAGUAUCGAAGCACAAAAACGUUACCUAACUCAUCGCCUGCACACUGAGAUGAUGGUCACAGGUAUGCAGUCUAACAAUUCACUAGGUUUCGUCUUGUUGUUUCUAGUUAAUUUACGGCUGAUCAAAAUCACGAGAGCAGAUAACCAAAAGUGGUAGAAUAACGCAUUAAAAUAUAUCUAAAAAAACUUAAAACUGGGUUCACGCUAUAAUGAGGAGUUCUCAAUUUGGUUGAGUAACGUAAUUAGUCAUACCUUUUUAUUUGAAAAAAAAAAUAUUUUAUAUCACUUGUUUUUUCUUGAUAAUUUUUUUUGCAUAAACAAUUUGAAAAUUUUGCAUCCGAGUUUGAACACAUGGCGCCCCUGAAAUCGAGUACAAAGUUGCUGAUGAUAUUGAAAAACCUAUCUGACAAUCUUUAUGUACCCCGAAAUCGAGAACAAUACAAAUCGGCCACAGGUAUGUUCUCCGUGACUAAUGCGACGUUAGAAUUGUUUGUCAGAUAGAUUACAGUACAGGAAUAUUAGAAAAGCUCUAUUCGAAUUUAAUCUACAUUGUGUGAUCGCGGUUCAUCAUUCGGGCUACUCGAUACUGACCUGUCCAUAUUAUAUUAAAUCGUAUUAGGGUAACUGGGUGGAAAUCAAUACGCCAUACGGUGUGACAACUACAUCUGACUGGUUGAGUAUUGCGGAACGAUUAACUUAUGUAGAAGUAUCUUUACAUAAUUUUUUUUUUUUUUAAAUAAAUAAAUACCUUCCUGUUCGAGUUCAAUAUUUUUUUGCAUAUCAUUUAUACUACGGCCGCUGGAUCACAAGAAAAAGAAACAAGCUGAAAAAGUCUGUUUGGGAGUAUCCACCGAGCAUUCAGUAUCGAAGCACAAAAACGUUACCUAACUCAUCGCCUGCACACUGAGAUGAUGGUCACAGGUAUGCAGUCUAACAAUUCACUAGGUUUCGUCUUGUUGUUUCUAGUUAAUUUACGGCUGAUCAAAAUCACGAGAGCAGAUAACCAAAAGUGGUAGAAUAACGCAUUAAAAUAUAUCUAAAAAAACUUAAAACUGGGUUCACGCUAUAAUGAGGAGUUCUCAAUUUGGUUGAGUAACGUAAUUAGUCAUACCUUUUUAUUUGAAAAAAAAAAUAUUUUUUAUCACUUGUUUUUUCUUGAUAAUUUUUUUUGCAUAAACAAUUUGAAAAUUUUGCAUCCGAGUUUGAACACAUGGCGCCCCUGAAAUCGAGUACAAAGUUGCUGAUGAUAUUGAAAAACCUAUCUGACAAUCUUUAUGUACCCCGAAAUCGAGAACAAUACAAAUCGGCCACAGGUAUGUUCUCCGUGACUAAUGCGACGUUAGAAUUGUUUGUCAGAUAGAUUACAGUACAGGAAUAUUAGAAAAGCUCUAUUCGAAUUUAAUCUACAUUGUGUGAUCGCGGUUCAUCAUUCGGGCUACUCGAUACUGACCUGUCCAUAUUAUAUUAAAUCGUAUUAGGGUAACUGGGUGGAAAUCAAUACGCCAUACGGUGUGACAACUACAUCUGACUGGUUGAGUAUUGCGGAACGAUUAACUUAUGUAGAAGUAUCUUUACAUAAUUUUUUUUUUUUUUAAAUAAAUAAAUACCUUCCUGUUCGAGUUCAAUAUUUUUUUGCAUAUCAUUUAUACUACGGCCGCUGGAUCACAAGAAAAAGAAACAAGCUGAAAAAGUCUGUUUGGGAGUAUCCACCGAGCAUUCAGUAUCGAAGCACAAAAACGUUACCUAACUCAUCGCCUGCACACUGAGAUGAUGGUCACAGGUAUGCAGUCUAACAAUUCACUAGGUUUCGUCUUGUUGUUUCUAGUUAAUUUACGGCUGAUCAAAAUCACGAGAGCAGAUAACCAAAAGUGGUAGAAUAACGCAUUAAAAUAUAUCUAAAAAAACUUAAAACUGGGUUCACGCUAUAAUGAGGAGUUCUCAAUUUGGUUGAGUAACGUAAUUAGUCAUACCUUUUUAUUUGAAAAAAAAAAUAUUUUAUAUCACUUGUUUUUUCUUGAUAAUUUUUUUUGCAUAAACAAUUUGAAAAUUUUGCAUCCGAGUUUGAACACAUGGCGCCCCUGAAAUCGAGUACAAAGUUGCUGAUGAUAUUGAAAAACCUAUCUGACAAUCUUUAUGUACCCCGAAAUCGAGAACAAUACAAAUCGGCCACAGGUAUGUUCUCCGUGACUAAUGCGACGUUAGAAUUGUUUGUCAGAUAGAUUACAGUACAGGAAUAUUAGAAAAGCUCUAUUCGAAUUUAAUCUACAUUGUGUGAUCGCGGUUCAUCAUUCGGGCUACUCGAUACUGACCUGUCCAUAUUAUAUUAAAUCGUAUUAGGGUAACUGGGUGGAAAUCAAUACGCCAUACGGUGUGACAACUACAUCUGACUGGUUGAGUAUUGCGGAACGAUUAACUUAUGUAGAAGUAUCUUUACAUAAUUUUUUUUUUUUUUAAAUAAAUAAAUACCUUCCUGUUCGAGUUCAAUAUUUUUUUGCAUAUCAUUUAUACUACGGCCGCUGGAUCACAAGAAAAAGAAACAAGCUGAAAAAGUCUGUUUGGGAGUAUCCACCGAGCAUUCAGUAUCGAAGCACAAAAACGUUACCUAACUCAUCGCCUGCACACUGAGAUGAUGGUCACAGGUAUGCAGUCUAACAAUUCACUAGGUUUCGUCUUGUUGUUUCUAGUUAAUUUACGGCUGAUCAAAAUCACGAGAGCAGAUAACCAAAAGUGGUAGAAUAACGCAUUAAAAUAUAUCUAAAAAAACUUAAAACUGGGUUCACGCUAUAAUGAGGAGUUCUCAAUUUGGUUGAGUAACGUAAUUAGUCAUACCUUUUUAUUUGAAAAAAAAAAUAUUUUUUAUCACUUGUUUUUUCUUGAUAAUUUUUUUUGCAUAAACAAUUUGAAAAUUUUGCAUCCGAGUUUGAACACAUGGCGCCCCUGAAAUCGAGUACAAAGUUGCUGAUGAUAUUGAAAAACCUAUCUGACAAUCUUUAUGUACCCCGAAAUCGAGAACAAUACAAAUCGGCCACAGGUAUGUUCUCCGUGACUAAUGCGACGUUAGAAUUGUUUGUCAGAUAGAUUACAGUACAGGAAUAUUAGAAAAGCUCUAUUCGAAUUUAAUCUACAUUGUGUGAUCGCGGUUCAUCAUUCGGGCUACUCGAUACUGACCUGUCCAUAUUAUAUUAAAUCGUAUUAGGGUAACUGGGUGGAAAUCAAUACGCCAUACGGUGUGACAACUACAUCUGACUGGUUGAGUAUUGCGGAACGAUUAACUUAUGUAGAAGUAUCUUUACAUAAUUUUUUUUUUUUUUAAAUAAAUAAAUACCUUCCUGUUCGAGUUCAAUAUUUUUUUGCAUAUCAUUUAUACUACGGCCGCUGGAUCACAAGAAAAAGAAACAAGCUGAAAAAGUCUGUUUGGGAGUAUCCACCGAGCAUUCAGUAUCGAAGCACAAAAACGUUACCUAACUCAUCGCCUGCACACUGAGAUGAUGGUCACAGGUAUGCAGUCUAACAAUUCACUAGGUUUCGUCUUGUUGUUUCUAGUUAAUUUACGGCUGAUCAAAAUCACGAGAGCAGAUAACCAAAAGUGGUAGAAUAACGCAUUAAAAUAUAUCUAAAAAAACUUAAAACUGGGUUCACGCUAUAAUGAGGAGUUCUCAAUUUGGUUGAGUAACGUAAUUAGUCAUACCUUUUUAUUUGAAAAAAAAAAUAUUUUUUAUCACUUGUUUUUUCUUGAUAAUUUUUUUUGCAUAAACAAUUUGAAAAUUUUGCAUCCGAGUUUGAACACAUGGCGCCCCUGAAAUCGAGUACAAAGUUGCUGAUGAUAUUGAAAAACCUAUCUGACAAUCUUUAUGUACCCCGAAAUCGAGAACAAUACAAAUCGGCCACAGGUAUGUUCUCCGUGACUAAUGCGACGUUAGAAUUGUUUGUCAGAUAGAUUACAGUACAGGAAUAUUAGAAAAGCUCUAUUCGAAUUUAAUCUACAUUGUGUGAUCGCGGUUCAUCAUUCGGGCUACUCGAUACUGACCUGUCCAUAUUAUAUUAAAUCGUAUUAGGGUAACUGGGUGGAAAUCAAUACGCCAUACGGUGUGACAACUACAUCUGACUGGUUGAGUAUUGCGGAACGAUUAACUUAUGUAGAAGUAUCUUUACAUAAUUUUUUUUUUUUUUAAAUAAAUAAAUACCUUCCUGUUCGAGUUCAAUAUUUUUUUGCAUAUCAUUUAUACUACGGCCGCUGGAUCACAAGAAAAAGAAACAAGCUGAAAAAGUCUGUUUGGGAGUAUCCACCGAGCAUUCAGUAUCGAAGCACAAAAACGUUACCUAACUCAUCGCCUGCACACUGAGAUGAUGGUCACAGGUAUGCAGUCUAACAAUUCACUAGGUUUCGUCUUGUUGUUUCUAGUUAAUUUACGGCUGAUCAAAAUCACGAGAGCAGAUAACCAAAAGUGGUAGAAUAACGCAUUAAAAUAUAUCUAAAAAAACUUAAAACUGGGUUCACGCUAUAAUGAGGAGUUCUCAAUUUGGUUGAGUAACGUAAUUAGUCAUACCUUUUUAUUUGAAAAAAAAAAUAUUUUAUAUCACUUGUUUUUUCUUGAUAAUUUUUUUUGCAUAAACAAUUUGAAAAUUUUGCAUCCGAGUUUGAACACAUGGCGCCCCUGAAAUCGAGUACAAAGUUGCUGAUGAUAUUGAAAAACCUAUCUGACAAUCUUUAUGUACCCCGAAAUCGAGAACAAUACAAAUCGGCCACAGGUAUGUUCUCCGUGACUAAUGCGACGUUAGAAUUGUUUGUCAGAUAGAUUACAGUACAGGAAUAUUAGAAAAGCUCUAUUCGAAUUUAAUCUACAUUGUGUGAUCGCGGUUCAUCAUUCGGGCUACUCGAUACUGACCUGUCCAUAUUAUAUUAAAUCGUAUUAGGGUAACUGGGUGGAAAUCAAUACGCCAUACGGUGUGACAACUACAUCUGACUGGUUGAGUAUUGCGGAACGAUUAACUUAUGUAGAAGUAUCUUUACAUAAUUUUUUUUUUUUUUAAAUAAAUAAAUACCUUCCUGUUCGAGUUCAAUAUUUUUUUGCAUAUCAUUUAUACUACGGCCGCUGGAUCACAAGAAAAAGAAACAAGCUGAAAAAGUCUGUUUGGGAGUAUCCACCGAGCAUUCAGUAUCGAAGCACAAAAACGUUACCUAACUCAUCGCCUGCACACUGAGAUGAUGGUCACAGGUAUGCAGUCUAACAAUUCACUAGGUUUCGUCUUGUUGUUUCUAGUUAAUUUACGGCUGAUCAAAAUCACGAGAGCAGAUAACCAAAAGUGGUAGAAUAACGCAUUAAAAUAUAUCUAAAAAAACUUAAAACUGGGUUCACGCUAUAAUGAGGAGUUCUCAAUUUGGUUGAGUAACGUAAUUAGUCAUACCUUUUUAUUUGAAAAAAAAAAUAUUUUUUAUCACUUGUUUUUUCUUGAUAAUUUUUUUUGCAUAAACAAUUUGAAAAUUUUGCAUCCGAGUUUGAACACAUGGCGCCCCUGAAAUCGAGUACAAAGUUGCUGAUGAUAUUGAAAAACCUAUCUGACAAUCUUUAUGUACCCCGAAAUCGAGAACAAUACAAAUCGGCCACAGGUAUGUUCUCCGUGACUAAUGCGACGUUAGAAUUGUUUGUCAGAUAGAUUACAGUACAGGAAUAUUAGAAAAGCUCUAUUCGAAUUUAAUCUACAUUGUGUGAUCGCGGUUCAUCAUUCGGGCUACUCGAUACUGACCUGUCCAUAUUAUAUUAAAUCGUAUUAGGGUAACUGGGUGGAAAUCAAUACGCCAUACGGUGUGACAACUACAUCUGACUGGUUGAGUAUUGCGGAACGAUUAACUUAUGUAGAAGUAUCUUUACAUAAUUUUUUUUUUUUUUAAAUAAAUAAAUACCUUCCUGUUCGAGUUCAAUAUUUUUUUGCAUAUCAUUUAUACUACGGCCGCUGGAUCACAAGAAAAAGAAACAAGCUGAAAAAGUCUGUUUGGGAGUAUCCACCGAGCAUUCAGUAUCGAAGCACAAAAACGUUACCUAACUCAUCGCCUGCACACUGAGAUGAUGGUCACAGGUAUGCAGUCUAACAAUUCACUAGGUUUCGUCUUGUUGUUUCUAGUUAAUUUACGGCUGAUCAAAAUCACGAGAGCAGAUAACCAAAAGUGGUAGAAUAACGCAUUAAAAUAUAUCUAAAAAAACUUAAAACUGGGUUCACGCUAUAAUGAGGAGUUCUCAAUUUGGUUGAGUAACGUAAUUAGUCAUACCUUUUUAUUUGAAAAAAAAAAUAUUUUAUAUCACUUGUUUUUUCUUGAUAAUUUUUUUUGCAUAAACAAUUUGAAAAUUUUGCAUCCGAGUUUGAACACAUGGCGCCCCUGAAAUCGAGUACAAAGUUGCUGAUGAUAUUGAAAAACCUAUCUGACAAUCUUUAUGUACCCCGAAAUCGAGAACAAUACAAAUCGGCCACAGGUAUGUUCUCCGUGACUAAUGCGACGUUAGAAUUGUUUGUCAGAUAGAUUACAGUACAGGAAUAUUAGAAAAGCUCUAUUCGAAUUUAAUCUACAUUGUGUGAUCGCGGUUCAUCAUUCGGGCUACUCGAUACUGACCUGUCCAUAUUAUAUUAAAUCGUAUUAGGGUAACUGGGUGGAAAUCAAUACGCCAUACGGUGUGACAACUACAUCUGACUGGUUGAGUAUUGCGGAACGAUUAACUUAUGUAGAAGUAUCUUUACAUAAUUUUUUUUUUUUUAAAUAAAUAAAUACCUUCCUGUUCGAGUUCAAUAUUUUUUUGCAUAUCAUUUAUACUACGGCCGCUGGAUCACAAGAAAAAGAAACAAGCUGAAAAAGUCUGUUUGGGAGUAUCCACCGAGCAUUCAGUAUCGAAGCACAAAAACGUUACCUAACUCAUCGCCUGCACACUGAGAUGAUGGUCACAGGUAUGCAGUCUAACAAUUCACUAGGUUUCGUCUUGUUGUUUCUAGUUAAUUUACGGCUGAUCAAAAUCACGAGAGCAGAUAACCAAAAGUGGUAGAAUAACGCAUUAAAAUAUAUCUAAAAAAACUUAAAACUGGGUUCACGCUAUAAUGAGGAGUUCUCAAUUUGGUUGAGUAACGUAAUUAGUCAUACCUUUUUAUUUGAAAAAAAAAAUAUUUUAUAUCACUUGUUUUUUCUUGAUAAUUUUUUUUGCAUAAACAAUUUGAAAAUUUUGCAUCCGAGUUUGAACACAUGGCGCCCCUGAAAUCGAGUACAAAGUUGCUGAUGAUAUUGAAAAACCUAUCUGACAAUCUUUAUGUACCCCGAAAUCGAGAACAAUACAAAUCGGCCACAGGUAUGUUCUCCGUGACUAAUGCGACGUUAGAAUUGUUUGUCAGAUAGAUUACAGUACAGGAAUAUUAGAAAAGCUCUAUUCGAAUUUAAUCUACAUUGUGUGAUCGCGGUUCAUCAUUCGGGCUACUCGAUACUGACCUGUCCAUAUUAUAUUAAAUCGUAUUAGGGUAACUGGGUGGAAAUCAAUACGCCAUACGGUGUGACAACUACAUCUGACUGGUUGAGUAUUGCGGAACGAUUAACUUAUGUAGAAGUAUCUUUACAUAAUUUUUUUUUUUUUUAAAUAAAUAAAUACCUUCCUGUUCGAGUUCAAUAUUUUUUUGCAUAUCAUUUAUACUACGGCCGCUGGAUCACAAGAAAAAGAAACAAGCUGAAAAAGUCUGUUUGGGAGUAUCCACCGAGCAUUCAGUAUCGAAGCACAAAAACGUUACCUAACUCAUCGCCUGCACACUGAGAUGAUGGUCACAGGUAUGCAGUCUAACAAUUCACUAGGUUUCGUCUUGUUGUUUCUAGUUAAUUUACGGCUGAUCAAAAUCACGAGAGCAGAUAACCAAAAGUGGUAGAAUAACGCAUUAAAAUAUAUCUAAAAAAACUUAAAACUGGGUUCACGCUAUAAUGAGGAGUUCUCAAUUUGGUUGAGUAACGUAAUUAGUCAUACCUUUUUAUUUGAAAAAAAAAAUAUUUUAUAUCACUUGUUUUUUCUUGAUAAUUUUUUUUGCAUAAACAAUUUGAAAAUUUUGCAUCCGAGUUUGAACACAUGGCGCCCCUGAAAUCGAGUACAAAGUUGCUGAUGAUAUUGAAAAACCUAUCUGACAAUCUUUAUGUACCCCGAAAUCGAGAACAAUACAAAUCGGCCACAGGUAUGUUCUCCGUGACUAAUGCGACGUUAGAAUUGUUUGUCAGAUAGAUUACAGUACAGGAAUAUUAGAAAAGCUCUAUUCGAAUUUAAUCUACAUUGUGUGAUCGCGGUUCAUCAUUCGGGCUACUCGAUACUGACCUGUCCAUAUUAUAUUAAAUCGUAUUAGGGUAACUGGGUGGAAAUCAAUACGCCAUACGGUGUGACAACUACAUCUGACUGGUUGAGUAUUGCGGAACGAUUAACUUAUGUAGAAGUAUCUUUACAUAAUUUUUUUUUUUUUUAAAUAAAUAAAUACCUUCCUGUUCGAGUUCAAUAUUUUUUUGCAUAUCAUUUAUACUACGGCCGCUGGAUCACAAGAAAAAGAAACAAGCUGAAAAAGUCUGUUUGGGAGUAUCCACCGAGCAUUCAGUAUCGAAGCACAAAAACGUUACCUAACUCAUCGCCUGCACACUGAGAUGAUGGUCACAGGUAUGCAGUCUAACAAUUCACUAGGUUUCGUCUUGUUGUUUCUAGUUAAUUUACGGCUGAUCAAAAUCACGAGAGCAGAUAACCAAAAGUGGUAGAAUAACGCAUUAAAAUAUAUCUAAAAAAACUUAAAACUGGGUUCACGCUAUAAUGAGGAGUUCUCAAUUUGGUUGAGUAACGUAAUUAGUCAUACCUUUUUAUUUGAAAAAAAAAAUAUUUUUUAUCACUUGUUUUUUCUUGAUAAUUUUUUUUGCAUAAACAAUUUGAAAAUUUUGCAUCCGAGUUUGAACACAUGGCGCCCCUGAAAUCGAGUACAAAGUUGCUGAUGAUAUUGAAAAACCUAUCUGACAAUCUUUAUGUACCCCGAAAUCGAGAACAAUACAAAUCGGCCACAGGUAUGUUCUCCGUGACUAAUGCGACGUUAGAAUUGUUUGUCAGAUAGAUUACAGUACAGGAAUAUUAGAAAAGCUCUAUUCGAAUUUAAUCUACAUUGUGUGAUCGCGGUUCAUCAUUCGGGCUACUCGAUACUGACCUGUCCAUAUUAUAUUAAAUCGUAUUAGGGUAACUGGGUGGAAAUCAAUACGCCAUACGGUGUGACAACUACAUCUGACUGGUUGAGUAUUGCGGAACGAUUAACUUAUGUAGAAGUAUCUUUACAUAAUUUUUUUUUUUUUUAAAUAAAUAAAUACCUUCCUGUUCGAGUUCAAUAUUUUUUUGCAUAUCAUUUAUACUACGGCCGCUGGAUCACAAGAAAAAGAAACAAGCUGAAAAAGUCUGUUUGGGAGUAUCCACCGAGCAUUCAGUAUCGAAGCACAAAAACGUUACCUAACUCAUCGCCUGCACACUGAGAUGAUGGUCACAGGUAUGCAGUCUAACAAUUCACUAGGUUUCGUCUUGUUGUUUCUAGUUAAUUUACGGCUGAUCAAAAUCACGAGAGCAGAUAACCAAAAGUGGUAGAAUAACGCAUUAAAAUAUAUCUAAAAAAACUUAAAACUGGGUUCACGCUAUAAUGAGGAGUUCUCAAUUUGGUUGAGUAACGUAAUUAGUCAUACCUUUUUAUUUGAAAAAAAAAAUAUUUUUUAUCACUUGUUUUUUCUUGAUAAUUUUUUUUGCAUAAACAAUUUGAAAAUUUUGCAUCCGAGUUUGAACACAUGGCGCCCCUGAAAUCGAGUACAAAGUUGCUGAUGAUAUUGAAAAACCUAUCUGACAAUCUUUAUGUACCCCGAAAUCGAGAACAAUACAAAUCGGCCACAGGUAUGUUCUCCGUGACUAAUGCGACGUUAGAAUUGUUUGUCAGAUAGAUUACAGUACAGGAAUAUUAGAAAAGCUCUAUUCGAAUUUAAUCUACAUUGUGUGAUCGCGGUUCAUCAUUCGGGCUACUCGAUACUGACCUGUCCAUAUUAUAUUAAAUCGUAUUAGGGUAACUGGGUGGAAAUCAAUACGCCAUACGGUGUGACAACUACAUCUGACUGGUUGAGUAUUGCGGAACGAUUAACUUAUGUAGAAGUAUCUUUACAUAAUUUUUUUUUUUUUUAAAUAAAUAAAUACCUUCCUGUUCGAGUUCAAUAUUUUUUUGCAUAUCAUUUAUACUACGGCCGCUGGAUCACAAGAAAAAGAAACAAGCUGAAAAAGUCUGUUUGGGAGUAUCCACCGAGCAUUCAGUAUCGAAGCACAAAAACGUUACCUAACUCAUCGCCUGCACACUGAGAUGAUGGUCACAGGUAUGCAGUCUAACAAUUCACUAGGUUUCGUCUUGUUGUUUCUAGUUAAUUUACGGCUGAUCAAAAUCACGAGAGCAGAUAACCAAAAGUGGUAGAAUAACGCAUUAAAAUAUAUCUAAAAAAACUUAAAACUGGGUUCACGCUAUAAUGAGGAGUUCUCAAUUUGGUUGAGUAACGUAAUUAGUCAUACCUUUUUAUUUGAAAAAAAAAAUAUUUUAUAUCACUUGUUUUUUCUUGAUAAUUUUUUUUGCAUAAACAAUUUGAAAAUUUUGCAUCCGAGUUUGAACACAUGGCGCCCCUGAAAUCGAGUACAAAGUUGCUGAUGAUAUUGAAAAACCUAUCUGACAAUCUUUAUGUACCCCGAAAUCGAGAACAAUACAAAUCGGCCACAGGUAUGUUCUCCGUGACUAAUGCGACGUUAGAAUUGUUUGUCAGAUAGAUUACAGUACAGGAAUAUUAGAAAAGCUCUAUUCGAAUUUAAUCUACAUUGUGUGAUCGCGGUUCAUCAUUCGGGCUACUCGAUACUGACCUGUCCAUAUUAUAUUAAAUCGUAUUAGGGUAACUGGGUGGAAAUCAAUACGCCAUACGGUGUGACAACUACAUCUGACUGGUUGAGUAUUGCGGAACGAUUAACUUAUGUAGAAGUAUCUUUACAUAAUUUUUUUUUUUUUUAAAUAAAUAAAUACCUUCCUGUUCGAGUUCAAUAUUUUUUUGCAUAUCAUUUAUACUACGGCCGCUGGAUCACAAGAAAAAGAAACAAGCUGAAAAAGUCUGUUUGGGAGUAUCCACCGAGCAUUCAGUAUCGAAGCACAAAAACGUUACCUAACUCAUCGCCUGCACACUGAGAUGAUGGUCACAGGUAUGCAGUCUAACAAUUCACUAGGUUUCGUCUUGUUGUUUCUAGUUAAUUUACGGCUGAUCAAAAUCACGAGAGCAGAUAACCAAAAGUGGUAGAAUAACGCAUUAAAAUAUAUCUAAAAAAACUUAAAACUGGGUUCACGCUAUAAUGAGGAGUUCUCAAUUUGGUUGAGUAACGUAAUUAGUCAUACCUUUUUAUUUGAAAAAAAAAAUAUUUUUUAUCACUUGUUUUUUCUUGAUAAUUUUUUUUGCAUAAACAAUUUGAAAAUUUUGCAUCCGAGUUUGAACACAUGGCGCCCCUGAAAUCGAGUACAAAGUUGCUGAUGAUAUUGAAAAACCUAUCUGACAAUCUUUAUGUACCCCGAAAUCGAGAACAAUACAAAUCGGCCACAGGUAUGUUCUCCGUGACUAAUGCGACGUUAGAAUUGUUUGUCAGAUAGAUUACAGUACAGGAAUAUUAGAAAAGCUCUAUUCGAAUUUAAUCUACAUUGUGUGAUCGCGGUUCAUCAUUCGGGCUACUCGAUACUGACCUGUCCAUAUUAUAUUAAAUCGUAUUAGGGUAACUGGGUGGAAAUCAAUACGCCAUACGGUGUGACAACUACAUCUGACUGGUUGAGUAUUGCGGAACGAUUAACUUAUGUAGAAGUAUCUUUACAUAAUUUUUUUUUUUUUUAAAUAAAUAAAUACCUUCCUGUUCGAGUUCAAUAUUUUUUUGCAUAUCAUUUAUACUACGGCCGCUGGAUCACAAGAAAAAGAAACAAGCUGAAAAAGUCUGUUUGGGAGUAUCCACCGAGCAUUCAGUAUCGAAGCACAAAAACGUUACCUAACUCAUCGCCUGCACACUGAGAUGAUGGUCACAGCUCUUAUAAUGGCCCAAUACACAUAGUAAAUUUAAGUUCUAUGCCAAUAGAUUUCCAACUGCACAACUUCACCUUUAGCAAUAUUUCUGCAUCAUGUUUUGCAGUCACGAAUAGUUUUAAUUAUUUCUUUUGGCGUUUAGAUAUAUUGCAUGUGCUUUACUUCAUAAAACAAAUACACAUUUUUUGAGACAACAUCUUCUGUGCAAAAAAAUACAAUAAAUUUAUUUUAUGUAUAUUUAUUCUGAUAUGUAUAAACUACCUACUAACAAUUGUAUUUGUAUAUUUUAGUUUAUUUGGACUUUAUAUAAAUAUAUUUUUAAUUGUAGAAUUUAUUUAAUAAUACAUGUUUUACAUUGAUCAAAUUCUAAUAUUUUGACCGGGAGUAUAAAAUAUUUUAUUUGU